GCAAGUGAGCGAGGAUCGGGUCGUCGCAUCCUUAGUGGCGCGCUACAUCGGCGCCCGGAUGUAGUGGAAAAUGAGCAAGGAUCUUCGCAUUUGACUCGACGAGUGCGAAGGGUAAGGAAGCUAGCCGAGCCUAGGAGGAUUCGCUUAGGUAGCUGGAACGUAGGGUCUCUGACAGGGAAGCUUCGGGAGCUAGUUGAUGCAGCAGUGAGGAGAGGUGUUGAUAUCCUUUGCGUCCAAGAAACCAAAUGGAGAGGACAGAAGGCGAAGGAGAUGGAGGAUACCGGCUUCAAGCUGUGGUACACGGGGACGGCUGCAAACAGAAAUGGCGUAGGCAUCUUGAUCAACAAGAGCCUCAAGUAUGGAGUGGUAGACGUCAGGAGACAUGGGGACCGGAUUAUCCUGGUUAAGCUGGUAGCUGAGGACUUGGUUCUCAAUGUUAUCAGCGCAUAUGCCCCGCAAGUAGGCCACAAUGAGAACACCAAGAGGGAGUUCUGGGAAGGCUUGGAAGACAUGGUUAGGAGUGUACCGAUUGGUGAGCAGCUCUUCAUAGGAGGAGACCUCAAUGGCCACGUGGGUACAUCUAACACAGUUUUGAAGGGGCGCAUGGGGGCUUUGGCUAUGGCAUCAGGAAUCAAGAAGGAGAAGAUGUCUUAA
rnacentral:rRNA from 1 species